rnacentral:rRNA from 1 species
UCCGUAGGUGGCAAUUAAAGUCCGUGGUUAAAGACUAGAGCUUAACUCUGGAAAAGCCAGGGAAACUGAAAAGCUAGAGUUCGGGAGGGGUAGAGGGAAUUCCCAGUGUAGCGGUGAAAUGCGUAGAGAUUGGGAAGAACACCAGUGGCGAAGGCGCUCUACUGGACCGGAACUGACACUGAGGGACGAAAGCUAAGGGAGCGAAAG